rnacentral:lncRNA from 1 species
CCCCCUGCAGAAACAGAUAAACAACAAAACUCGUGGAAUUCUGUCAGAUCAAACCCUAAUUCUAGGUGUUGGUUGCAUAUUGGUCCUUUCUCUUGUUUAUUUGAUAAUUAAAAUUGACACUUAAGAACCGUCAACAAAUACCCCCAUACUUAGGCUUUUACUCGUCCUCGAGAAAAGGAUGGUUAAGAACAAUAUUUGGGGUAAAACAUUUCAAAGCAUUCUUUAUAUUUGCAGGGUGUUAAAAUUCCACUGUGUACUGUAGUCAGGGAAUUAUAUGGUUAAGAGUAAAGAUCCUUUCUUCUCAAUCCUUGUCACUUGGAGUUUUUUGUAUAUUUUUGAAAGAAAGUUAGCAUACCUUUUUAUCCUCAUAGGUUCUUCUCAGAUCACUCAUUAUCUUUUAUAUAUCUCACUGAGGUUGUUUUAAUUUGCAAAAAUUCUCAAUCAUACUUACUUUGCAUUUAUUGACUGAUCAAAACGGGAUCCGAGGAGGGGAAUGUCAUACUCUUAGAUCAAAGACUUUGGAAAUUAAAAGCUUUGUCAACUCUUGCUGGCAUAUUCCUUAUUAGAGGGACCAUGGGCUAUCAUUUUUUUAAGUGGAUACAGAGGUAUCCCUAAUUCUACUGCCGGACACUUGUCCAUUUUUUCUGCGAGGUUGUCGAGCACUUGCUCCUUUUUAUUUCCUCAAAAUAUCUUUAUUUUUGCAUAGCCCAUGCCUCUAAUGCAAUAAUACUUCGGAAGAGUGAAUCUUUCUGAAUAAAUGUCUUGAUCUUAGGAGCAUGAUAAAUCUCUCAAGAAGGGUCUAACUCAUUUUGAACAAACUCAAUACAGAGUAGAUAACUUUUAUAAUCAUAAUUAAUAUUUUCAGUUUUAUCAGGCAUAUAAAACACUGAGGAUGGUAGCUAGAAUUUUGAAGAUUUUGAAAUAAAUUCUCCAAGCAACAAUGAUAUCAAGAAUAAGAAACUCGUACUCUACCAUCUCACAUUCCAUACUAUCUUAAGUAACACAUGGUUUUAAAAUGAUUUUAUAAUAAUUGCAAGUUUUCAGGAAAUAUCACAGAUUGAGAUUAAUCAUGAUUAGAAAUAUUUUAAUCUUUUUAUUUUAUCAUGUCUGAAACAGUAUUCUGCAUAAUCCAAAAUAUAUGUAUGUGUAAAGUAAAGUGUGCAGAGUGUGUACCUGAAUCGUGGAGUGGUAUAGUCGGAGUUUGUUUGGCAUGUUGAGGGAUCUCCCCCAUACUUGUUUUCUGCUUUCUUGCACAAAAAUAAAGUAGAGACACACAAGACAUAAUAAUAAUAAUAAUACUCUUUAUUAAUCUUGAGGCAUUUAUUACAAAAGACUAGUAGCAAACUGACGAUAGUAGCAAACUGAUGAUAAUAGUAAACCUAAACCGAAUUUAAAGAUAAAUGACUAAGAUGCAUUGCCUCAAGGUCUAAUCUAGAUAACUUAGCGGCGCUCUAAUUCCUUAAUCUUCUUGUUGGCACUAGCAAGAUCCUGCCUAAGGCCUAGUAUAAUGGUGUUGUGGUUAGAGAGCUGCCUAGUGAGGGAAUUAAUUGAGGACUGGAGGUCUAUGAUAACUCUGUCUAGUCUGCGAACGUCCUCAUCAAUAUCCAUUAUAGUCUUGCGACGCUUGGGAGGUGUCUCAAAAGCAUUGAGAGCGUGCUUCGGGGCUGCCUUUGGAGGGAUGAAACGGACUUUGGCUACUCUAAUCCCUUCAAAGUAAGGUCUUUCCUCCUCCGUAGUGUAGCGAAUACUGCUGAUCUCACCGCUCCGGUUGGUCUUGACUCCAACGACCCUCUCAUUGGGUCUAGGUGGAAGGAUCCUUGUGCCGAUUGGCACCUUGAUAGUGGUUUUCGUCUUGGAUGAUGAUCCCUUGAGAAGUAGGGGUUGUGGUGGUGCGGUGAGAACUGGUUGAGCAUGGUAAGAUUGGGCGGAGCUGCGUUGGCGUAAUGGCAUGGCUUCUAGCUGUCGCUCUGUGUUGGCUGGGACGAGAGCACGGGCAUCGGGGUCCUCCACAGGCUCCACGUUGAGGUUGACGGGGACGACUUCCCAAUCAUCGUGGUACUUCUCGGCCAUUGGAGCAGCGAGGAACUAAUCAAGCUCUAAUUGAAGGAGAGAAGGCUUUGUGGCUUGGUGUUUGAAAACUGAGGUCAGGGGUCUUGUUUAUAUAGGGGUCAAAAAGUGCCUCUAGGGGUUGUUCGGGUUGCUCCCGUCGAUGUGCGUGCGAAACUUUCCAUCUGAGGGAUUAUUCGGAUUACCAUAAGUGCAUUUUCCAUAACAGAGAAAAUCGGGACCAAGGGGGAACAGGAGCUGGGCGCCAGCCCACCUAAUCUGGACGCCCGCCCUCUCUCUGGCCCCUCCGUGGGCCCACUUUCUCGAGCGCGUUACUGGAUGCAAAACUAUUUAGAAAUAUAUAUAUAUGACCCGAAAACAUCAGACUAAAAAGGUCGGGCUCUAAUUCUUCAUGGGAAGGUAAAAAUGGACUACGUCUAUUUCUUCUAAUUCUUUAUUGGGCUCUAAAAAUAAUUUAAGACGUUGACCAUUUACCUUGAAUAACGUACCUUCGUCGUUUUGAAGUGUGAUAGCUCCAUGGGAUGAUGAAUUAAUUACCUUGAAUGGUCCUUCCCAUUUGCUCCGGAGUUUUCCAUGCCCGAAAAGCUUCACCCUAGAAUUAAAAAGUAAUACCUUAUCUCCGGGUGUGAACUCCUUCUUCUUGAUUCUCUUGUCAUGCCUCCUUUUGACUCUUUCUUUGUAGAUCUUUGAGUUGUGAUAUGCCUUCUCUCGCCAUUCUUCCAAUUCUGAUAGUUGCAUUCUUCUAUAAUCUCCAACAACAUCUAGGUCCAUAUUCCAUCUCUUUAUGGCCCAGUGUGCUUUGAACUCUAGUUCAACAGGUAGAUGGCAAGUCUUCCCGUACACCAAUUGGUAUGGAGACAUUCCAAUCGGGGUCUUGUAUGCUGUCUGGUAUGCCCAGAGUGCAUCGGGUAACUUGUCUUUCCACGCCGUUCCCAUUUCAUUUACUUUCUUCUGAAGAAUAUUCUUGAUUUGUUUGUUGGAAGUCUCUGCUUGGCCACUUGUCUGAGGAUGAUAGGGGGUAGCGACGUUGUGACGGAUUACAUGUUUUGAUAGAUAUUGCUUGAAGCAUUUGUCGAUGAAGUGUGCUCCUCCAUCACUUAUCACUACUCUGGGGACUCCAAAUCUUGGAAAUAUAAUUUCUUCAAACAUCCUAUUUGAACUGAUGUUGUUGGCAUGCUUGCAAGGUAAUGCCUCUACCCACUUGGAGACAUAGUCAACUGCUAUUGAUAUUUGGGAACGCAAUAAGGAAUUGAUCCGCAAGCGCACGGAUAUCGGUGAGCACUUCACCCGGGAAAUUAUCCAGAGUAUCGUAUUUAUUUUUUUACCACUAGGAGAAAGAGUGCAUCUGACUAACUGGUCUAUUACUACUAACCUUUAGGCACAAAGAAUGUCUUUCGAUGUGAGUGAUAAAUAGAGAAGACUGCAACCGUAGUCUCCUUCUAACCUUGGUAAGGAUGAUCUACUGUUCUAAUGGGGAGGCUAACGGAAUCUAGACACCACAAAGGAUGUUCAACCCGCACCUAUAAACCCUAUCCUUCCUGCUAACGAGAUGUGAUCUACAAAGGUAGCUCGGAAUUGUCACGUUCCUCACUACUACCACGGUCCAGCUAGUCAGGGAAUAUCUAUGAGUACCCCAGCCUAAACACCACGUUUACGCCUGCAAUGAUUACUCUAAACUCUACGCGAAGAGAUCAAAGUAAACUCAUAAACCAUAAGAACAAUAAAACAAGAACUUACUAGAAUUUAGAAGUCGAAUUACUGAAGAAUCCUAGGAGCAAACUUCGGGUUAGGAGAACUUGAUCCCGCAGGUACAAGCUUGGAGUAGACACCGACAGGCCGGGCUUCCUCCACUCUACACCUCCACUCUAUCUCUCUCAAUCUAGUAGAAACUAGAAGAUCUAUUUCUACCUUACAUUGAUUGCUAAGCCUAAAAAGAAAUAUUAAUUAGAGAAGAGGUUUUCCUUCGAGGGCACCCCUCAAUCUCUAUGAUAAUUUCUUCAUGUCUUCUCCAGGGGCCAGGGGGGCCUUGCUUAUAUAGUCCUCCCCUUCUAUGCGUUUUUGGGUCGAUAGGCGAGGUGGUACUAUGUUUUUCUUGAUCCAAUAGGUCGGUGGAAUAUCCCGAGCGAAGAGAGUCCUGAUCUGGCUCCAGAGGGGGGCGGGCGCCCUGGGCCUGGCCCAGUUUUGCCUCCGCUUCGGUCUCGUGGCUUCUGGAGUCUUCUAGAUGAUGUAAAAUCGUGCGGUGCGUUGAUAUCUCUAUGUAAUCCCGACAUGUGGGCCUUUCUUCCUUAUUUCCUGAUAACCCCCUGCAGAAACAGAUAAACAACAAAACUCGUGGAAUUCUGUCAGAUCAAACCCUAAUUCUAGGUGUUGGUUGCAUAUUGGUCCUUUCUCUUGUUUAUUUGAUAAUUAAAAUUGAUACUUAAGAACCGUCAACAAAUACCCCCAUACUUAGGCUUUUACUCGUCCUCGAGAAAAGGAUGGUUAAGAAAAAUAUCUGGGGUAAACAUUUUAAAACAUUCUCUAUAUAAUUGCAGGGUGUUAAAAAUCCACUGUGUACCAUAGUCGGGAAUGUUUGUGGUUAAGAGUAAAGAUCCUUUCUUCUCAAUCCUGCCACUUGGAGUUUUUGUAUAUUUUUGAAAGAAAGUUAGCAUACCUUUUUAUCCUCAUAGGUUCUCUCAGAUCACUCAUUAUCUUUUAUAUAUCUUACUGAGGUUGUUUUAUUUUGCAAAAAUUCUCAAGCAUUCUUACUUUGCAUUUAUUGCCUGAUCAAAACGGGAUCCGAGGAGGGGAAUGUCAUACUCUUAGAUCAAAGACUUUGAAAAUUAAAAACUUUGUCAACUCUUGCUGGCAUAUUGCUUAUUAGAGGGACCAUGGGCUACCAUUUUUUUCUCUUUUCUCUUCUCUUCUUUUUUUUAAGUGGAUACCAAGGUACCCCUAAUUCUACUGCCGGACACUUGUCUAUUUUUUCUGCGAGGUUGUCGAGCACUUGCUCCUUUUUAUUUCCUCGAAAUAUAUUUUUUUAUUUUUUUUAUUUUUUUAUUAUUUUUUUUUUGCAUAGCCCAUGCCUCUAAUGCAAUAAUACUUCGGAAGAGUGAAUCUUUCUGAAAUAAUGUCUUGAUCUUAGGAGCAUGAUAAAUCUCUCAACAAGGGUCUAACUCAAUCUGAACAAACUCAAUACAGAGCAGAUAGCUUUUAUAAUCAUAAUUAAUAUUUUCAGUUUUAUCAGGCAUAUAAAACACUGAGGAUGGUAGCUAGAAUUUUGAAUAUUUUGAAAUAAAUUCUCCAAGCAACAAUGAUAUCAAGAAUAAGAAACUCAUACUCUAUCAUCACAUAUUCCAUAUUGACUUAAGUAACACAGGGUUUUAAAAUGAUUUUAUAAUAAUUGCAAGUUUUCAGGAAAUAUCACAAAUUGAGAUUAAUCAUGAUUAUAAAUAUUUUAAUCUUUUUUAUUUUAUCAUGUCGGAAACAAUAAUCUGCAUAAUCCAAAAUAAAUGUAUGUAUGAAGUAAAGUGUGCAGAGUGUGUACCUGAAUCGUGGAGUGGUGUAGUCGGAGUGUGUUUGGCAUGUUGAGGGAUCUCCCCCAUACUUGUUUUCUUCUUUCUUGCACAAAGAUAAAGUAGAGACACACAAGACAUAAUAAUGAUAAUAAUAAUAAUACUCUUUAUUGAUCUUGAGGCAUUUAUUACAAAAGACUGAUAGCAAACUGAUAGCAAACUAAUAAUAGCAAACUGAUGAUAAUAGCAAACUUAAAUCGAAUUUAAUCAUAGAUGACUAAGAUGCAUUGCCUCAAGGUCUAAUCUAGAUAACUUAGUGGCGCUCUAAUUCUUUGAUCUUCUUGUUAGCACUGGCAAGAUCCUGCCUAAGGCCUAGUAUAAUGGUGUUGUGGUUAGAGAGCUUCCUAGUGAGGGAGUUGAUCGAGGACUGGAGGUCUAUGAUAACUCUAUCUAGCCUGCGAACUUCCUCAUCAAUAUCCAUUAUAGUCUUGCGACGCUUUUGAGGUGUCUCAAAAGCAUUGAGAGAGUGCUUCGGGGCUGCUUUUGGAGGGAUGAAACAGACUUUGGCUGCUCUAAUCCCUUCAAAGUAAGGCCUUUCCUCCUCCGUAGUGUAGCGAAUACUGCUGAUCUCGCCGCUUCAGUUGGUCUUGACUCCAACGACCCUCUCAUUGGGUCUAGGUGGAAGGAUCCUUGUGCUGGUUGGCACCUUGAUAGUGGUCUUCAUUUUGGAUGAUGAUCCUGUGAGGAGUAGGGGUUGUGGCGGUGCGGUGAGAACUGGUUAAGCAUGGUAAGAUUGGGCAGAGCUACGUUGGCGUAAUGGCAUGGCUUCUAGCUGACGCUCUGUGUUGGCCGGGACGAGAGCACGGGCAUCGGGGUCCUCCACAGGCUCCAUGUUGAGGUUGAAGGGGACGACUUCCCAAUCAUUGUGGUACUUCUCGGCCAUUGGAAUAGUAAGGAACUAAUAAAACUUUAAUUGAAGUAGAGCUAAUCAAGCUCUAAUUGAAGGAGAGCUAAUCAAGCUCUAAUUGAAGGAGAGAAAGCUUGGUGGCUUGGUGUUUGAAAACUGAGGUCAGGGGUCUGUUUAUAUAGGGGUCAAAAGGAUGCCUCUAUGGGUUGUUCGGGUUGCUCCCGUCGACGUGCGUGCGAAACUUUCCAUCCGAGGGAUUAUUCGGAUCACCCUAAGUGCAUUUUCCAUAACAGAGAAAGUCGGGACCGAGGGAGAACAGGGGCUGGGCGCCCGCCCUCUCUCUGGCCCCUCUGUGGGCCCACUUCUCCGAGCGUGUUUCUAGAAGCAAAAUUAUUUAGAAAAAUAUAUAUGACCCAAAACCAUCAGACCAAAAGUGUCGGGCUCUAAUUCUCCAUGGGAAGGUAAAAAUGGACUACGUCUAUUUCUUCAAAUUCCUCAUUGGGCUCUAAAAAUAAUUUAAGACGUUGACCAUUUACCUUGAAUAACGUACCUUCAUCAUUUUGAAGUGUGAUAGCUCCGUGGGAUGAUGAAUUGAUUACCUUGAAUGGUCCUUCCCAUUUGCUCCGGAGUUUUCCAUGCCCGAAAAGCUUCACCCUGGAAUUAAAAAGUAAUACCUUAUCUCCGGGUGUGAACUCCUUCUUCUUGAUUCUCUUGUCAUGCCACCUCUUGACUCUUUCUUUGUAGAUCUUUGAAUUGUGAUAUGCCUAUUGACGGUCCUUAAGUAUCAAAUUUAAUUAUCAAAUAAAUAAAGAAAAGGAUCCAAAUGAAAUCAACAUCCAGACUUAGGGUUUUAUUUGACAGAAUUCCACGAGUUUUGGUGUUUGUCUUUUUCUGCAGGGGGUUAUCAGGAAAUAUGGAAGAAAGGCCCACAUGUCGGGAUUACGUAA